AUUGAACGCUGGCGGCAGGCUUAACACAUGCAAGUCGAACGAGUGGCGGACGGGCGAGUAAUGUAUGGGGAUCUGCCUGAUGGCGGGGGAUAACUACUGGAAACGGUAGCUAAUACCGCAUACCAUCAGAUGAACCCAUAUGGGAUUAGCUUGUAGGUGAGGUAACGGCUCACCUAGGCGACGAUCCCUAGCUGGUCUGAGAGGAUGAUCAGCCACACUGGGACUGAGACACGGCCCAGACUCCUACGGGAGGCAGCAGUGGGGAAUAUUGCACAAUGGGCGCAAGCCUGAUGCAGCCAUGCCGCGUGUAUGAAGAAGGCCUUAGGGUUGUAAAGUACUUUCAGCGGGGAGGCGUUACCCGCAGAAGAAGCACCGACUAACUCCGUGCCAGCAGCCGCGGUAAUAC
rnacentral:rRNA from 1 species